GAGGAUAAAGCUCAGUGGUAGAGCCCAUGCUUAGCAUGCAUGAGGUCCUGGGUUCAAGCCCUAGUAUCUCCA
rnacentral:tRNA from 1 species